GGAAAAAUUCAUAAGUAUUUUUGCACUUUCUUCCUGGACGUUCCAGUCCGUUACUUCGCCUCUUUCUGUCUCACUUUAUUCUGCCAUAAUGCUGUCUCCCUUCAACAACGCCAUCGGCGUGUGCGGCCGCUAUUGAUUCUGGUUAAAGCCGGGUCGUGCCAUUGCGCUCUCUCUUUUCCUACCUCUCUCUCAUUCUCUCCCCCCACCAAUUAUUUUACUAUUCUUUCAUUAUAUUUUACAUUUACCCCAUUCUCAAUUACAAGCAAAAAUCACCCUUCUGAUCCAGACUUAUACUUCAAUUUUCCAAAAUCACUUUUUCAGCCAAAAUUUAAUUAAACCCCAAAAGACGCACAUCACUCAGUAAAAAAGCUAGUACAACCCCUUCCUCCUCUCCUCCUUCCCACCCCAUUUUCCUCUUCACCCCAUUACCCCCUUUUCUCCUUUUCCCCCCUCUCUGGUUGUACCCUUGACGAAAUUUUAUCAAGACCCUUCUGCAAAUUCGAUUGAAACCCAGAAAAACAUCCCCUGGAAAAUUCCCGGGUUUCCAAAAAAUGUUCGGUUGAUGAAAUGUUUUUUAUUACACAAAUGCGAUCCUGGGAGAUAAAACGGUUUAUGUCCUCGAACCGGAGGAAAAUGACGCAAUUUUGCUGAAUAGUUCCGAGAUAUUCGUUGGGAGGUGAUCCCAGGAGGGGCUCAAGUUAAAUCGAGUUUCUUGUUAAUUAGUGAUUUGUUAAUCUAUAUCUGCUGAGGAAUGAGGUCUAAAAUGGUAGGGUAAUUUUUUCGAAAAUAAAUGACCACCUCCAGAUUAUUCAAAAAACUUGGAAAAAUUUAUUUGAAUGAAUGAAUGAAUUCCCCGAGUUUCCAUUCACUGUUUUACUGUCGAAUAAAAAUUUAAUAGCACUUUGUUCAUGGAAGGAAUAAACCUGAUCAGUAUCCUCGAACCUAUAGCGACUCGUUAAGAGAAAUUACUCGGUGGGGAUGCACCGGUUCAUUGACACCGAAUAAUCCCUCCGUAAACCAGGAGUGAAAAAAAAAUAUAUAUAUUCAACCGACAAAAAUGGAGAAAUAGAAGCUAGAGUCAAGGUCGUCCAUUCCUGCGCGUCAAUCCUCGAACUUUUUGAGAACAUCAAUGAAUCAUUGAAAUUAUGAGAAUCCCCAGGAAUUCCCACCCCC